rnacentral:lncRNA from 1 species
GGCCGUUAUAUGCAAGCCCAUUUUUUUAUUAGUUCAAGACCUCUAACAUGAAAAUACUAAUUUACCCUUAAUGAAAUUCAAAAGUAAAUAAAAAACACAAAAUAUUAAAAAAAUAAAAAAUAUAUUUCCUUUGUGCCAAAUAAAAUACAUAACCCUAGAAAUCUCCUUUCAUUAUUUCACGACUUAAAAAUCUCCUCCUUCUUCUUCACAAAGCCACCAAGAAAUCCUACACGUCGAAAUUAUCAAAUACACAUUUUGAAAUGAAAAAUCGGUGCUAGAGAAACCCUACACGUCGAAAUUAUCAAAUACACAUUUUCAAACACAAA